UUCGAUGAAUAGUUAUGAAACAAAAAAAUACAUGAAAUAUACAUUUAGAAUAAAUGGACAAAUAAAAUAUUAUUGAACUGUGACGAUCAAUUAAAGGAAAAAAUUGUAUGUGAACAUUAAUUAAAUACAAAAAGUGUAAAAGAAAAAA